UGCGUAGGCGGCUGGGAAAGUUGGGUGUGAAAGCCCUCGGCUCAACCGAGGAAUUGCGCUCAAAACUACCUGGCUUGAGGGAGAUAGAGGUGAGCGGAACUGAUGGUGGAGCGGUGAAAUGCGUUGAUAUCAUCAGGAGCACCUGUGGCGAAAGCAGCUCACUGGGUCUUUUCUGACGCUGAGGCACGAAAGCUAGGGGAGCGAACG
rnacentral:rRNA from 1 species